UACGUAGGGUGCGAGCGUUGUCCGGAAUUAUUGGGCGUAAAGAGCUCGUAGGCGGUCUGUCGCGUCGGUCGUGAAAACUUGGGGCUUAACCCUGAGCUUGCGGUCGAUACGGGCAUGACUGGAGUUCGGUAGGGGAGACUGGAAUUCCUGGUGUAGCGGUGAAAUGCGCAGAUAUCAGGAGGAACACCGGUGGCGAAGGCGGCCCACUGGUCCGGUACUGACGCUGAGGUGCGAAAGCGUGGGGAGCAAACAGG
rnacentral:rRNA from 1 species